AGUGAACGCUGGCGGUAGGCCUAACACAUGCAAGUCGAACGGCAGCACAGUAAGAGCUUGCUCUUACGGGUGGCGAGUGGCGGACGAGUGAGGAAUACAUCGGAAUCUACUUUUUCGUGGGGGAUAACGUAGGGAAACUUACGCUAAUACCGCAUACGACCUACGGGUGAAAGCAGGGGAUCUUCGGACCUUGCGCGAUUGCAUGAGCCGAUGUCGGAUUAGCUAGUUGGCGGGGUAAAGGCCCACCAAGGCGACGAUCCGUAGCUGGUCUGAGAGGAUGAUCAGCCACACUGGAACUGAGACACGGUCCAGACUCCUACGGGAGGCAGCAGUGGGGAAUAUUGGACAAUGGGCGCAAGCCUGAUCCAGCCAUACCGCGUGGGUGAAGAAGGCCUUCGGGUUGUAAAGCCCUUUUGUUGGGAAAGAAAAGCAGCAGGUUAAUACCCCGCUGUUCUGACGGUACCCAAAGAAUAAGCACCGGCUAACUUCGUG
rnacentral:rRNA from 1 species